rnacentral:rRNA from 1 species
AAGGGGAGGGCAAGUCGUAACACGGUAAGUGUACCGGAAGGUGCACUUGGAACAAACCCAGAGUAUGGCUGAGUUAAUUAAGCAUCUCACUUACACCGAGAAGACAUCCAUGAAAACUGGAUUACCCUGAGCCAAACAGCUAGCUUAUUUACCAACACAACUAAACAAUAUAAAUAAAAUAAAAUUAACCAAACACCACAAGACUAAAUCAUUCUUUUACCUGAGUAUGGGAGACAGAAAAGGUUAAACCAAAAGCAAUAGAAACAGUACCGCAAGGGAAAACUGAAAGAGAAAUGAAACAACCCAUAUAAGCACUAAAAAACAAAGACUAAGCCUUGUACCUUUUGCAUCAUGAUUUAGCUAGUAAAUAUCAAGCAAAGAGACCUUUAGUUUGAAGCCCCGAAACCAAGUGAGCUACCCCGAGACAACUAUUAGAGCCAACCCGUCUCUGUGGCAAAAGAGUGGGAAGAACUCCGGGUAGAAGUGACAGACCUACCGAACUUGGUGAUAGCUGGUUGCCUAAGAAACGAAUAGAAGUUCAGCCUCAUAUACCUUAAGCCAAAUAAUUACACCUUAACAAAGAUAUUAAAGAUAAAUAUGAGAGCUAGUUAAAGGGGGUACAGCCCCUUUAACAAAGGAUACAACCUUACUUAGAAGGAUAAAGAUCAUAAUAUAUAAAAUAUACUGUUCUAGUGGGCCUAAAAGCAGCCACCUAAACAGAAAGCGUUAAGG